GACGUAGGGCGCAAGCGUUGUCCGGAAUUAUUGGGCGUAAAGAGCUCGUAGGCGGUCUGUUGCGUCCGCUGUGAAAACUCGGGGCUUAACCCCGAGCCUGCAGUGGAUACGGGCAGACUAGAGGUAGGUAGGGGAGAAUGGAAUUCCCGGUGUAGCGGUGAAAUGCGCAGAUAUCGGGAGGAACACCGGUGGCGAAGGCGGGUCUCUGGGCCGAUACUGACGCUGAGGAGCGAAAGCGUGGGGAGCGAACAGG
rnacentral:rRNA from 1 species